AGAGUUUGAUCCUGGCUCAGGAUGAACGCUAGCGGCAGGCCUAACACAUGCAAGUCGAGGGGCAGCGCGAUGUAGCAAUACAUUGGCGGCGACCGGCGCACGGGUGCGUAACACGUAUGGAACCUGCCCUGUACUGGGAGACAACCCGGAGAAAUCCGGACUAAUAUCCCAUAACAACCGAGGUGGCAUCACCUUGGCUUGAAAGCUCCGGCGGUACAGGAUGGCCAUGCGCCCGAUUAGCUAGUUGGUGAGGUAACGGCUCACCAAGGCUACGAUCGGUAGGGGGCCUGAGAGGGUUAUCCCCCACACUGGUACUGAGACACGGACCAGACUCCUACGGGAGGCAGCAGUGAGGAAUAUUGCGCAAUGGAGGCAACUCUGACGCAGCCAUGCCGCGUGCAGGAAGAAGGCGCUACGCGUUGUAAACUGCUUUUAAUCGGGAAGAAACCCCGGGACGUGUCCCGGGUUGACGGUACCGAUGGAAUAAGCACCGGCUAACUUCGUGCCAGCAGCCGCGGUAAUACGAAGGGUGCAAGCGUUAUCCGGAUUCAUUGGGUUUAAAGGGUGCGUAGGCGGGACAGCAAGUCAGCGGUGAAAUCCCGUGGCUCAACCACGGAAUUGCCGUUGAUACUGCUGUUCUUGAGUACGUUUGACGUGGGCGGAAUGUGCCGUGUAGCGGUGAAAUGCUUAGAUAUGGCACAGAACACCGAUAGUGAAGACAGCUCACGAAGACGAAACUGACGCUGAGGCACGAAAGCGUGGGGAUCAAACAGGAUUAGAUACCCUGGUAGUCCACG
rnacentral:rRNA from 1 species